AAUUGUGUGGGGCCCCAGGAUGUGUUUUGGUUUUGCAAAGCUCUCUGGCAGAGCCUGCCUUCCUGUUUAUCUGCCUCUGUAUGCUUGCACAGCACAUGCAAUUCAAGACACAAGUGCAUGUGUCUUACAAUUCAGAACCAGAAGAGACUGGAACAUUUUUAUUUAGACUGAAAAUAAAAAGAUAGCAGCUUUGGAAGAUGUGUUCCCCUAGCUCCUUUCCUCUCGAAGGCUGCAAUUAAACAUGUUUUCUGGAGAACUGAUCCUUGCCACCCCAAGGAGAGGGGGACCACGAGCCCAAUUAUUUGGUAGUCAACUUCGCCCCUAAAGUAAGUGAAACUGCGAAGCUGUCUUUUACCAGAUGCCCGGGCACUGGCAGAAAACUGCACGACCAGAGUUUCGUACCCUUCCCCUUGGGGCAUGAUGUACACCAAGAAAUCUGCCAUCAGGGAGCCUGAUCAGAUGCCGGAGAGAGGAAUCGCUGGAAGGUCCACUUCAGAUACCCCAGGAGCGACCUCUGUGUCCCCCUUACCUGAGCUUCCCAUCGGGCACCAGGCUCAAGCUGAUUGGAGAGAAAGAGCCAAUUCUGCUUAGAAACAUCUCCAUGACGUAUUCUGCCCAUUAGCCAGGACUCAGAGCGAACUUGUACGGAACCAGGAGCGCAGGGGCAACAGGUGGAAACCCUGAGAGGAAAAGAUGAUCUAUUUGCAGGUUUGCCGUGGACUCUGGUUACUGCGCAGAUUCCAAUGCCUCAGUGAGAAUAGUAUGGCCAGGUUGGAACGCUUCUCUGAAGGAGAGCACGUGAGAAGCAAGAAAGAGGACAAGGAGGCGGAUUUCCAAGGAAGGGAGAGAAGUCACUCUGCUUUCGCUGCACCAGUGGUGGCCAAAAGUAAAGCAGGAUCCCAAAACUAGAACAUCCCUGCCUCUCGAUCCUCUCCCACUAGCUGUAGAAGGCCCAAGAAGAAAGUCUCACUCUUGCUGCUGACAGCGCCUUUUGCCCAAUGACACCUCUCCUCCCUGAAGCUGCCUAUGAGUGGCCGUUGCCCCUGACAAGCGUGCAGUCCAGACCUGCUCCCCUCCGUUCAGUUUCAGGUAUUUAUGGAUCGGUGCAAGUCCCAGCACAGUACACCAGCGUGAUCCGUGCGUUUAGACGGGAACCGUUUCCUGGGCAACUGGGGGAUUGUGCAGACGGCUUCUGGAAGACCUUCGUGCUCAGCAGCUUUGGUUCCGGGUGACGCCCUCCUACCCCAGCUGACAUCUGGGUUGAACGAUGCCAGGCCCAUGACCUACGGCGCUGCUCCCGUACGUGCCUCUAGGGGCUAAGCUCGAAGGUGCCUCCUCCGGACCGAGGAUCUCGUGUAACGGGGUUGUGGCCAGGGGCCUUGCCGUUGGAAGGAGGAAAGAAUAAACCUGCAAGGCCUGGACUCAAUACACUGAGGAUGAACAGAUGUCCAAAGUUACCCACAUCCCCAAGUCCAAGUUUUGACAGUUCAUGUGCAUGUGAGUAAGUGUAUGUGGCCAGCGUGGUCGGAUGAAGUCAUCUCCCUGCCCCCCUGUCAUAGGAAUCGUGCACCUUCCUGCUCAACUUAGCUCACAAGGGUGGGAGGACACCAAACGGAGGAAUUAGCUUGAAAAAUACCUUUAAACUUCAAAGUCUAAAAUGCUGGGGCGCCUUGGUGGCUCAGUCGUUAAGCGUCUGCUUUCAGCUCAGGGCGUGAUCCUGGAGUUCUGGGAUCGAGCCCCACGUCAGGCUC